rnacentral:rRNA from 1 species
UACGUAGGUGGCAAGCGUUGUCCGGAUUUACUGGGCGUAAAGGGCGUGCAGGCGGUCUGUUAAGUCUAGGGUGAAAGCUCCCGGCUCAACUGGAGAGGUCCUUGGAUACUGGCGGACUUGAGGGAGGUAGAGGAAAGUGGAAUUCCCGGUGUAGUGGUGAUAUGCGUAGAUAUCGGGAGGAACACCAGUGGCGAAGGCGGCUUUCUGGGCCUUACCUGACGCUGAGACGCGAAAGCGUGGGGAGCGAACAGG